rnacentral:rRNA from 1 species
GGGAAACUGGGUAUAAUACCCGAUAGGUCUCGAUUGCUGGAAUGCAUCGAGAUUUAAAGCUCCGGCGCCUAAGGAUGGGUCUGCGGCCUAUCAGUAGUAGUGGGUGUAGCGUACCUACUAGCCUACGACGGGUACGGGUUGUGAGAGCAAGAGCCCGGAGAUGGAUUCUGAGACACGAAUCCAGGCCCUACGGGGUGCAGCAGGCGCGAAAACUUUACAAUGCUGGCAACAGCGAUAAGGGAACCUCGAGUGCCAGGUUACAAAUCUGGCUGUCGAGAUGCCUAAAAAGCAUUUCAUAGCAAGGGCCGGGCAAGACCGGUGCCAGCCGCCGCGGUAACACCGGCGGCUCGAGUGGUAACCGUUAUUAUUGGGUCUAAAGGGUCUGUAGCCGGCCGGAUAAGUCUCUUGAGAAAUCUGGCAGCUUAACUGUCAGGCUUUCAGGAGAUACUGUCUGGCUCGAGGCCGGGAGAGGUGAGAGGUACUUCAGGGGUAGGGGUGAAAUCUUGUAAUCCUUGAAGGACCACCAGUGGCGAAGGCGUCUCACCAGAACGGACCUGACGGCAAGGGACGAAAGCUAGGGGCACGAACCGGAUUAGAUACCCGGGUAGUCCUAGCCGUAAACGAUACUCGCUAGGUAUCGGCCACGGUGCGACCGUUGUCGGUGCCGUAGGGAAGCCGUGAAGCGAGCCACCUGGGAAGUACGGCCCCCAAGCUGAAACUUAAAGGAAUUGGCGGGGG